AGAGUUUGAUCCUGGCUCAGGAUGAACGCUAUCGGCAGGCUUAACACAUGCAAGUCGAGGGGCAGCGAGAUCAGUGCUUGCACUGAUUGUCGGCGACCGGCGCACGGGUGCGUAACGCGUAUGCAACCUACCCAUUACAGGGGGAUAACACUGAGAAAUCGGUACUAAUACCCCAUAACAUCCAGGGAGGCAUCUUCUUGGGUUGAAAACUCCGGUGGUAAUGGAUGGACAUGCGUCGCAUUAGGUAGACGGCGGGGUAACGGCCCACCGUGCCGACGAUGCGUAGGGGUUCUGAGAGGAAGGCCCCCCACACUGGUACUGAGACACGGACCAGACUCCUACGGGAGGCAGCAGUGAGGAAUAUUGGUCAAUGGCCGAGAGGCUGAACCAGCCAAGUCGCGUGAGGGAAGAAUGUCCUAAGGAUUGUAAACCUCUUUUGUCGGGGAGCAAAAAGGCUCUGCGGAGUCGUAUUGAGAGUACCCGAAGAAAAAGCAUCGGCUAACUCCGUGCCAGCAGCCGCGGUAAUACGGAGGAUGCGAGCGUUAUCCGGAUUUAUUGGGUUUAAAGGGUGCGCAGGCGGCGUGUCAAGCAAGCGGUAAAAUAGCGGGGCUCAACCCCGUCGAGCCGUUUGAACUGGCGCGCUUGAGUUCAGGCGAGGUAGGCGGAAUUCGUGGUGUAGCGGUGAAAUGCAUAGAUAUCACGAAGAACUCCGAUUGCGAAGGCAGCUUACCAGUCUGCGACUGACGCUCAGGCACGAAAGUGUGGGUAUCGAACAGGAUUAGAUACCCUGGUAGUCCACACAGUAAACGAUGAGCGCUAGGUGUCCGGGUU
rnacentral:rRNA from 1 species